rnacentral:miRNA from 14 species
GUAAAGGCUGGACCUAGACGUGGCCUGUGGGUGUGGAGUGCACUUCAGUGUGUAACCACCGUCUAACUCCGGCCUUUACAG